GGGCACUUAGCACAGGGGUAGCGCGUUCGCUUCGCAUGCGAGAGGUCGUGGGUUCAAAUCCCACAGUGUCCA
rnacentral:tRNA from 1 species